UCAAACUUGGUCAUUUAGAGGAAGUAAAAGUCGUAACAAGGUCUCCGUUGGUGAACCAGCGGAGGGAUCAUUACAGAGAGUUUCUUGUCUCUUCGGCAAGACUCCCAAAACCCCAUGUGAACAUACCUCUUGUUGCCUCGGUGGGAGCCGCGCCCGAGCCCGCACUGCGGGAGGCGGGGGUGGCUUCUGCCAGCAGGCCACGAAACUCUGUUUUACUCUGGAAUUCUGAAUUAUGAAAACAAAAAAAAAAAGUUAAAACUUUCAACAACGGAUCUCUUGGUUCUGGCAUCGAUGAAGAACGCAGC
rnacentral:misc_RNA from 1 species